UUAAAUUGAAGAGUUUGAUCAUGGCUCAGAUUGAACGCUGGCGGCAGGCCUAACACAUGCAAGUCGAACGGUAACAGGAARCAGCUUGCUGUUUCGCUGACGAGUGGCGGACGGGUGAGUAAUGUCUGGGAAACUGCCCGAUGGAGGGGGAUAACUACUGGAAACGGUAGCUAAUACCGCAUAACGUCGCAAGACCAAAGAGGGGGACCUUCGGGCCU
rnacentral:rRNA from 1 species